rnacentral:rRNA from 1 species
UGAGGCGUGGCUUCCGGAGCUAACGCGUUAAGUCGACCGCCUGGGGAGUACGGCCGCAAGGUUAAAACUCAAAAGAAUUGACGGGGGCCCGCACAAGCGGUGGAGCAUGUGGUUUAAUUCGAUGCAACGCGAAGAACCUUACCUACUCUUGACAUCCAGAGAACUUAGCAGAGAUGCUUUGGUGCCUUCGGGAACUCUGAGACAGGUGCUGCAUGGCUGUCGUCAGCUCGUGUUGUGAAAUGUUGGGUUAAGUCCCGCAACGAGCGCAACCCUUAUCCUUUGUUGCCAGCGGUCCGGCCGGGAACACAAAGGAGACUGCCAGUGAUAAACUGGAGGAAGGUGGGGAUGACGUCAAGUCAUCAUGGCCCUUACGAGUAGGGCUACACACGUGCUACAAUGGCAUAUACAAAGAGAAGCGACCUCGCGAGAGCAAGCGGACCUCAUAAAGUAUGUCGUAGUCCGGAUUGGAGUCUGCAACUCGACUCCAUGAAGUCGGAAUCGCUAGUAAUCGUGGAUCAGAAUGCCACGGUGAAUACGUUCCCGGGCCUUGUACACACCGCCCGUCACACCAUGGGAGUGGGUUGCAAAAGAAGUAGGUAGCUUAACCUUUCGGGAGGGCGCUUACCACUUUGUGAUUUCAUGACUGGGGUGAAGUCGUUAACAAGG